rnacentral:tRNA from 4 species
GCAGGAAUGGCGGAAUUGGCAGACGCGCACGGUUCAGGUCCGUGUGACUAUUGCAGUCAUGAGGGUUCAAGUCCCUUUUCCUGCAUCA